UCUUUCAAAAGUUUAUUUAUUUUACAAUGUCCGUCCUACUUUAAAUCACAUGUUUGUCAUGAGCUCUUUAGUGAGUUAGGUUAGUUGUUUUGCGGCACUGGCUUUCUAUUUACUGUUUUUUUUAAAUAUAUGAAAUAGGAACACUCACUGACCCACACAGUGUCAUGUGAUACUGUGACAUAGAGCUUUCCCAGGAUGCAUUGGGGUGCAGUUAAAUUUUUUAAUUUGAUUAAUAAUUAAGGAAUUGUGUAUGGAGGAUUUUUUCUGAUGUAUUGUGAUGUUAGUUUGUGGUGAAAUAGAUGUGUUAGGGUUGUUGUUUUGCGUUUUUGG